GAUGAACGCUAGCGACAGGCCUAACACAUGCAAGUCGAGGGGCAGCACGAAUCAAGCUUGCUUGACUUGGUGGCGACCGGCGCACGGGUGCGUAACAGGUGUGCAAUCUGUCCAUAAUCGGGGAAUAGCCCAGCGAAAGUUGGAUUAAUGCUCCAUGUGAGUUUUAGAGGCAUCUCUUUAACUUGAAACGCAAGGAUUAUGGGUGAGCACGCUUCUGAUUAGGUAGUUGGUGAGGUAACGGCUCACCAAGCCGACGAUCAGUAGGGGUUCUGAGAGGAAGGUCCCCCACAUUGGAACUGAGACACGGUCCAAACUCCUACGGGAGGCAGCAGUGAGGAAUAUUAGUCAAUGGGCGCAAGCCUGAACCAGCCAAGUCGCGUGAAGGAUGAAGGUUCUAUGGAUUGUAAACUUCUUUUGUCUGAGGGUAAAAAAGCGGACGUGUCCGUUCUUGCAAGUAUCAGACGAAUAAGCAUCGGCUAACUCCGUGCAGCAGCCGCGGUAAUAC
rnacentral:rRNA from 1 species